GUUCUGUUCUGUGAACGCUUCUUCGCUUUCCUUCCCUGACAUUAAUCUGUUUUCUACAGUUCGCCGUGUGCUGAGGCAAGGGGAAAACGUCUGCGACAUGCAAACAGGCCCGGCUGUAGUCGCCAAACAUCAAUCCAGUGUCAACACGCAAGAGGGGAAUUCGCCACUGCUUUGAGAGGAGAUAACCGGCAUGUUUACCAGGCGGACGCGGGGAAAAGCGGACGGACACAUGCAGAUCGGUGUCUUAUCGGACAAGCGGUGGCCCUGCACCUGCUGGUCGUGUAACCCCUGCUACGUCCCCCGUGGAACAUGAGCCUGUGGAAUAUGUCAAGCAAAAAAAGGAGGAUUAGGCUUGUCGUCGGCGGCGGCGUGUGCACCGACUGAGCCGGCGCUUCUCCUCGCCACUACACACUCCAGCAAUCAGGCGGGCUGCCAAACAAACAGAUGAAGUCAACAGAGAGACGCUUCCUUGUGUCUUCUGAGAUGUGACUGCAACAGAUGCAACGCUGACACCGCCGCUUGACACGGUGUGACAGCCUACUGUGUCUACACAGCCGGCUCCACUUUGACUUAUUUUGAAGGAGGGGAGGGGAGGGUAGGGGAGGGGGUGACACUAUGCACAUGAUCACACACAAGAUAAUGUUUGUCAGCAGCAACAGCGAUGUCACCGUGUAAGAGAGACAAAGACAGACAACGGGGGUUGAUUUCACGGUGCAGUCAUGCUGUGUGUACAGUCCUCAAAAGAUUUCCAUAUGGUGUAGGGUGGGGGGGGGGGGCUCGCAGUCAGUUUUUCGAGGUGCAGGCUUUGAUUUGCUCUGUGCAUGAUUCAAUCUCCGAGGUGAACUAUGGCCAUUACACACUGCAAGGUCAAAAUCCCAUUACUUAAAUGCAAUUUUAUCCCUGAUUUUUUUUCUUACAGGCCCCAUCUCUCAAAUAUAUCUCCACAUCGCCACCCAGGCUGAAAGCACUGCAUGCUGGUUAACAGAGUUCUUGGCUUUGAGCAGCUCUAGGGGAUGGAGUGAGGGAGUAUCUGUAUCCAGGUAAUUACAGUCUGAGGGGGCACAGAGGUCCUCUGUGAUUACACAUCAGCCCUGUAAUGGAUUCAACACUUAUAGACGGAGAGAGAGAGAGAGAGACGCGUUCCUUACCUUCCCAUCGCGAAAAAGCAAGGGGACGGGCGGGCGAGAGCAGGCGAGGUGGGGCGGGGUAGGUAGGUAUAUCUGCAAGAUGGAUUACGUGGGGUUUGCCGAGUUCAACAUUGACACAGAUUCAUCGUAAAUCAUUAUGCCGGGGACCCGGAGUGAUUUCUGCAUUAGGAGCAGAAAAUGGAGUUCAGCCAGUCAAUGAGGGAGGGCAUAUUUCACAUCAAUCACCUCCACACUCGCAUGUUACCCAGGCUUAAAUCUCACUUAUACUGUUACCAAUAGGGUUCAAUGGCUAUGAUGGCAAUCAGCAACACAGUGCACUAACAAUACCCACACAGAGAACACAGCAUGGGGCUCCGGCGCCAUUUAUUCAAAGUGAAUUAUAUGAAUUGAAAACUGAGAAAAGUAAAAGACGAUGUUGGCACUAAAGAGGUUGUUUGGAUUAUAAUUCCGGCCUAUAUUUAUAGUUGUUUGAACUUUUAACUCAUGUUGGCUAACUUUCCAGCUGACUUCCUGCAGCAGUUUUUAUUCUUAUUCGUCAUGGAGAUAAGGUUGGCCAUGGGCCAGAAUCUAACCAACACUUCAGAUACUGGAAGUUUCAAUGAAGCACAGUCUAUUCUCAGGCAAAGGAAUGUACAGUAUAUUAUCCUACAGAGUAACCUUGCUUAUGUUUGGGGUCAAUUAAACCCUAGAGAGGUUUAACUCCCUGCAUCUUACCUUAAACCUCUUAUAAACAAACUGUUAUAAAACUCGGUUUUCUCCAGGUUCUCCAGCUUCCUCCCACAGCCCAAAGACCUGCU